UUUAAUAAUAGUAAUAAUAAUAAUAAUAAUAAUAUAUAUUUUGUUUACAAAAAACAACUCAUAUGCCUCAUAUGCUUACUUAACAGUUCUCGGAUUAUUAGCCUACCAAUUAAAUAUGCCCGACAGAGACCCUCGAUCGGUUCAUCGAUAGGAUUUUCGCUUCAAUGAAUCAGACUCGAGAACCGCUAAACCUAUUUGCAAAUUUAAUGAAUCCUUCAGAACGGUUCAUGUGACCUGGUUGAACUAAUUCACUGAAAAGAUUCGAAUCACGUUAACGAUUCUUUCACGAAUCGGACAACGAUUUAAAGCGCUGAGACUUACGGGACAAAAAUUUUGUUGAGUGUUGGGAUAAAGUAAUACAUUUAGGAGCUCAGAGCACAGAGCUAUUUAAUUUAGACGGGCUGAAUUCGCAGGAUUACACAAAGUCUCACUUCUUGAAAUCACAAAUCAUUCGAAUCAGUUCGCCAGUUUCCCAACCCCUGCAGUCCAGAUCUGCAAACAGGCACCUCCCGUCCUCAUUUCGUCCAGAGGCGAACUUUCCAUCUCACUGGAGGUUAGAUGCGCUUUACACGAGCAGUCGAGGAAAAUGGCUUGUACUGUCGGUGGUCAGAUCAUACCGCAGUUAAACGUGGAGGAGGCGACGGAGGACAGCAGCCCGUCCAGGAGCACCUCCACCCGGCGGAGCAAAACCUCCUUCUCCCCGUUCAGCUCGAGGAAACAUCAGAGAUUGCCAGGAACUCAAGGACAGCAUGCUUUGGUUAAAUCUGCUCCUGUAGAAGACAUUUCCUUGGCUUCUCUCCAGAGAAUCCCAAGGCUGAUGCGUCAUGACAAGGCUUUCUAAAGGAUGGAACUUGACUUGUACAGAUACAUUUCAGGCACUUGAUCCAUCCGUCUCGGUCUUGAUCGGUGAGCAUGUUGAUAUAGUAUGAGCUUAAAGAUGGCUCACAUUGUGUGGCGUAUUAAAGAGAAGUGUUACUUAAGGGAUGUUUCCCGCUGAGAAUAAAAAAGAUAUUACUUUUGUGUUGUGCUGAAAAUCUUUUACCUAGUUUGUUGUUCCUGGUCAAAAAUCAUCAGCCUUUUAAACAUUGCUAGUAAAUCUCUUAUUAUGUUGUAUUAUCGCCGAAUCUUGGAUUCAGUCUUUAUGCCAAUUCUUUUUU
rnacentral:lncRNA from 1 species